rnacentral:rRNA from 1 species
UACACUCCUGCGGGAGGCAGCAGUGAGGAAUAUUGGACAAUGGGUGGAAGCCUGAUCCAGCCAUCCCGCGUGCAGGAAGACGGCCCUAUGGGUUGUAAACUGCUUUUAUCUGGGGAUAAACCUACUUACGUGUAAGUAGCUGAAGGUACCAGAAGAAUAAGCACCGGCUAACUCCGUGCCAGCAGCCGCGGUAAUACGGAGGGUGCAAGCGUUAUCCGGAUUUAUUGGGUUUAAAGGGUCCGUAGGCGGACUGAUAAGUCAGUGGUGAAAUCCGACAGCUUAACUGUCGAACUGCCAUUGAUACUGUUAGUCUUGAGUAAGGUUGAAGUGGCUGGAAUAAGUAGUGUAGCGGUGAAAUGCAUAGAUAUUACUUAGAACACCAAUUGCGAAGGCAGGUCACUAAGUCUUAACUGACGCUGAUGGACGAAAGCGUGGGGAGCGAACAGGAUUAGAAACCCCGGUAGUCCC